rnacentral:lncRNA from 1 species
AACCUAGGAUGAUCGGUGAUACUGAAAAUGUGGGGACAUCUAAAUCUUCCACGAAAAGUAUACCGUCCAGCAGCGAUGACCUCAGCCAAAUCACCGACGCAGGUGGUGAAUCCAUUCUGGCCCCAAUUCAGCUUCUGGGAGAAUUUUUAACAUCAGUAAUGACGAAAAACUACCAUUCAGCACUUAAAUCUUGCGAGUUAAUUCUCAAAUAUGAACCAAAUUAUUCGACCGCAAAAGAAUUUUUUCCUCUCCUUCAAGAAAAGUGCAAUCAAAUUCAAGAGGACGACGAUGACGAAAACAACGAUGAUGAUGAUGGUGAUGAUGUUGAUGAUGAUGAUGACAAUGAUGACGAUUAUACUGAUGAUGAUGACGGUGACUCCGAUGAAGAUAAUGAUGAUGAUGAUAAUGAAGAUGGCACAAUUGACAGUAAUGAUACUGGAUCUGAUUACAGUGAUGAUGAUGGAGAUGAAGACAAUCAUUUUCUAGUUAUUUAAUUUAAUUUUCUAGAGAGUAGAGCUUUUUAUAAAGUAAAUGAAGCUAGCCGAACUGCUGUCAGGGAAAUGAUUGGAACCAUAUUACCCGCGUACCAUUUUGCAACGAAAAUAUAUAAUUUAAUUAAAAAAGGCAAUGUAAUGACGAUAUUUUUGCUUAAUUGGUUCAAUUAAUACAACUUUUGAAUGUUCAAUAAGAUGAGCUCCACGUACUAGAAAUAUAGGAAAUUACAAAGAGAAAUUAUGCGACUUAUUUUUUAUUGCAAUGAAUUUUCAAUGGCAGGUGUCCCUUCAAUUAGUCGAUAGGCAACAUAGACAACACUGGUAAGCCGUGGUAAUAUUUUUUCCCUGUAGAUGCAAUUUACUACCAACAGUUUCCUCUUUACUAAGGUUAUUUACUCGCCCUGCAAAGGUCAGCAGAUUUCUUCAAAAAAAGUCAAUUUUCAUCCGUUUGGACACCGCGUCCCGUCCUCUAAGUUCAAUUUAAUUCUUUAGCAAAAAAAAAGAAAAAAAACCUACUUUGUUUUGAUUAUUCACCUGUGAUUAAAUCUGCACCAAAUACAUAAGUACAUGUAAACAAACAUAUUUUUGACAAAAUUAAAUAAAUAAACUAUUAUAGUUUUUCAAUUUUUUCGCUGUUGUAUAUACCUAAUGUCCCAGUAAGUUUUAACAAGGCUGCAAUGAUCCAUGUAAAAGAAAUAUGUGAACACAUGUGAGACCGAGAGACGAGGUAUUAAAUUCACAGAUUUCA